rnacentral:tRNA from 1 species
GCCUGGGUGGCUCAGUCAGUUGAGCGUCCGACUUCAGCUCAGGUCAUGAUCUCACAGUCUGUGAGUUCGAGUCUCACGUCGGGCU